rnacentral:rRNA from 1 species
AACCUACGGGUGGCAGCAGUGGGGAAUUUUGGACAAUGGGGGUAACCCUGAUCCAGCCAUUCCGCGUGAGUGAAGAAGGCCUUCGGGUUGUAAAGCUCUUUCAGCUGGAGAGAAACGGUUCGCUCUAACAUAGCGGGCUAAUGACGGUACCAGCAGAAGAAGCACCGGCUAACUACGUGCCAGCAGCCGCGGUAAUACGUAGGGUGCGAGCGUUAAUCGGAAUUACUGGGCGUAAAGCGUGCGCAGGCGGAUUGUUGAGCAAGAUGUGAAAUCCCCGGGCUUAACCUGGGAAUGGCAUUUUGAACUGGCAGUCUAGAGUGCGUCAGAGGGGGGUGGAAUUCCACGUGUAGCAGUGAAAUGCGUAGAGAUGUGGAGGAACACCGAUGGCGAAGGCAGCCCCCUGGGAUGACACUGACGCUCAUGUACGAAAGCGUGGGUAGCAAACAGGAUUAGAUACCCCGGUAGUCUCA